rnacentral:rRNA from 1 species
UACGUAGGUGGCGAGCGUUGUCCGGAUUUACUGGGCGUAAAGGGAGCGUAGGCGGACUUUUAAGUGAGAUGUGAGAUACUCGGGCUCAACUUGAGUGCUGCAUUUCAAACUGGAAGUCUAGAGUGCAGGAGAGGAGAAUGGAAUUCCUAGUGUAGCGGUGAAAUGCGUAGAGAUUAGGAAGAACACCAGUGGCGAAGGCGAUUCUCUGGACUGUAACUGACGCUGAGGCUCGAAAGCGUGGGGAGCAAACAGG